rnacentral:rRNA from 1 species
UACGAAGGGGGCUAGCGUUGCUCGGAAUGACUGGGCGUAAAGGGCGCGUAGGCGGAUGGCACAGUCAGAUGUGAAAUUCCCGGGCUUAACCUGGGGGCUGCAUUUGAUACGUGUUGUCUAGAGUGAGGAAGAGGGUUGUGGAAUUCCCAGUGUAGAGGUGAAAUUCGUAGAUAUUCGCAAGAACACCAGUGGCGAAGGCGGCUCUCUGGGGUAUUGCUGACGCUGAGGCACGAAAGCCAGGGGAGCGAACGGG